UUGGCGCCCUUCGUCUCCAAAAUUUCGGAGCACCGCCGCCGCGCCUCGUCGCCCCUGCCGCGCCGCUCGCUGCAGCCAGCUCCGCAUCACCCCGGCAACGCCGCCGUUCUCCGCGUCCGGCCGCGCCGCCUUCCGCCGCGCCGCGCCCCGGCCACGCCCCCGCCGCGCUUCAGCUCCUCCGCGGCCGGCGUCCAGGGCGGGCCGGCGUGCCGCGCUCCGCGGCCGGCCUGGGCGGUUAGGGGUGGGCCAAGCGGGCUCGCGUCCAUGGCCGCCGUGGGCGUCCGGCGAGGGUGGGAGCCGUGCGCCUCGCCCUGCGUGCGGUGCCCGGCGCCGCCGUAAGCUUCCGCCGUGGGCGCACGGCCUGGCCGGGAGCCGUGCGCCUCGCCGCGCGUGCGGUGCCCUGCGCCGCCGCCGUGGCCCUCCGGCCUGGGUGGGAGCCGUGCGGCUCGCCCUGCGCGGCCAGCCUGACCUGCCACCGUAAGGCGCCUCCGGCGUUCGCCGUGCGGCGCGCGCUCCUCGGGACGACGCACCGCCCAGUCGCGACGACGCCGUGCCCCACCGCGCCGCGGACCACCUCCGCCCGACGACCCCACCUCCUAUUCCUCAGCCUCCUCCAUCCGCGCCGUGGCGACGACGCCGACACCUCCUGAUCCUCGCGCACCGGUGGCCAGCGGAGACCGAGCUUCGUGACACGCGGCCGCUAGAAGAACUCCUACGCUCGACCACCCCCUCCCUCCGCCGCCGCCGGAGACUGAGCUGCGUCCACAUCGGUGGCAGGCGGAGUCCGAUCAGUGGCUGCCAGAGUUCGAUUUGCGUGGAGGCGCGGCCGCUCGACCGACCCCCUCCGCCGCCGCCGGAAUUUUACAUGUUCCUUUAGUGUGUUCUGAAUUUUUUUUUGCGAAGCAGUGUGUUCUUAAUUAUGAGGGAGGUAUCACUUCUUCAACACGCCCUUUUAAACUGUAUGUUCUAAAUUAUUGUGAUUCACAGUAGUUUAGUUUCUUUUACCAUUUAAACUGGAGUCAAUAAUGUUAGGGCAUACAACAAUGAGCACAUGAUCAUUAUAGCUAUUUUAAUUUGUCAUAAUAAGGUUUCAUGGCCAGCUGAAAGUGCUACAUGCCACCUGAAAAUUACUUCCCACCUGAAAUAGGAAGACUAAUACUCUAUUCAACUUGGUUUAGUCUUCAGCUGGAAGGCAGUAGUUGUGACUGAAGCUUCUAUAUAAUCGAGGCUUGUUAGCUUCGGCGUGUAAGGCCAUUUGCUGAUUUGUUCUAUGGUGAUUGUACUGCCCUUUAUUUGCUAAUUUACUUGGCCUUUGGAUUAGGGACAGUGCGUUGCACAUAUUAUUUGAUUGACUGCAAGUCUGCAAUCUGGGAUAGUGACAAUGAAUUUGGAUAGUCUGAUACAAAUGCCACAUUUUGUGUGUUUAUUGUUAGGUUACUUUUUUUGAUAGUGCAAGUAGUAUUUUUAGAAUUUCACAGCGUAAUUCCUUGUUGCUUGAUAUGUUGCAAUUCCAUCUAUGUGUUUUUUUUACCCGUAGCGUUAGCACGGGCCAACUUACUAGUCUAGGUGUAAUGCAUAGAUGGUAUUGCUAUUGCCAAACAUUGUAAAAUAUUUGGUGCAUGGACUAGAUGUUGGACUCUA